UACGGAAGGCAGCAGUGGGGAAUAUUGCACAAUGGGCGCAAGCCUGAUGCAGCCAUGCCGCGUGUAUGAAAAAGGCCUUCGGGUUGUAAAGUACUUUCAGUCGUGAGGAAGGUGUUAAGGUUAAUAACCUUAGCAAUUGACGUUAGCGACAGAAGAAGCACCGGCUAACUCCGUGCCAGCAGCCGCGGUAAUACGGAGGGUGCGAGCGUUAAUCGGAAUUACUGGGCGUAAAGGGCACGCAGGCGGUUAAUUAAGUUGGAUGUGAAAUCCCCGGGCUUAACCUGGGAAUGGCAUUCAAGACUGGUUAGCUAGAGUCUUGUAGAGGGGGUAGAAUUCCAUGUGUAGCGGUGAAAUGCGUAGAAAUGUGGAGGAAUACCGGUGGCGAAGGCGGCCCCUGGACAAAGACUGACGCUCAUGUGCGAAAGCGUGGGGAGCAAACAGGGAUUAGAUACC
rnacentral:rRNA from 1 species